rnacentral:rRNA from 1 species
AGAGAAAGAGGGAGGAAGGAGGAAAAAAGGAAAGUCGAGAGAAAAGCCAGGGGAGCGGAAGAAGGGAGAGUAACACGUGGGAACAUACCUUUUGGUUCGGAACAACUGAGGGAAACUUCAUCUAAUACCGGAUAAGCCCUUACGGGGAAAGAUUUAUCGCCGAAAGAUUGGCCCGCGUCUGAUUAGCUAGUUGGUGAGGUAACGGCUCACCAAGGCGACGAUCAGUAGCUGGUCUGAGAGGAUGAUCAGCCUCACUGGGACUGAGACACGGCCCAGACUCCUACGGGAGGCCGCAGUGGGGAAUAUUGGACAAUGGGGGCAACCCUGCUCCAGCCAUGCCGCGUGCCUUCUCCCUGCCUUAGGGUUGUAAAGCUCUUUUUCCCUUGAAGAUAAUGACGGUACCGGGAGACUAAGCCCCGGCUCCCUUCGUG